rnacentral:sRNA from 1 species
UUUAGAGCUAAUAAUUAUUCGAGCGCAACUCCCAUGGUAUUAUCUUCAGAGUUGUGGACUCCAGCUCCAUCCGAAGCGAACAUCUCUGGCUCGUCCUUGGGUCAGUCAACUCCAGAAACACCCAACAUCAGUAGCAUCACAGCUCGGAUAAUCGAGCAAGAACGGCGAGAACAGCGAGAUCAAUUAGAAAACGGUCAAGAGCCCCAGGCAGCUAUGCAGCUCGGCAAUUGGAGUUGGGCAGAUGGGACUUAUUAGGCUACUGGAUGAAAGGCUGAGGGUGUUAGUCCCGCAGUUUGUCCAUCAGACAAACGGAGCAGCACAAAGUCCAGCGAUAUGUUGGAAUUUAUUGCCAGCGGAGCUACGAAACUUCACACUCUAAUGUUUUUCGCGUCAAGCUUCUAGACAUGUUUUCUUCUGAUUCCACCUAAUUGUUUUCUUGAAUUUCUUAUUUUGUUUUGCAAUGCUAAACGGGUAAGGACUUAUUUAACUUUUUAAUUUGUAAUUGAGUGCAUAGUUAAGCCUGGAGAGCCAAUUGCAUUUUCGUAUAUGAUUUGGAUUAUGUAUAAAGUUUAUAUACACAUGUAGAUAUAAGUUUUCUAUUUGGUUAUGUAUUCUUAGUAAUGUCUGUUUGGCCGCGAAGGCUUUUGUAUUACUAUUGUCAAGUACGACUUAGGCAACACUGCGUUUGUCCAACGCUGUGCUGUCAUAUUUGAAACCAACCGAGCCGACAAGAAGAGAGCUCCGCGUAGAGAGUCGAGUAACAAACACGUUCGCUUGGUCAUUUGAAAUGAAAGUAUUUUAGCUUUAUUAGCGUAAUCUUAAAUAAAAGCCAUUCACUGUAUUGAAGUAUUGUUGGAAUCAAGCUAUUAUUAUUUGUGCGAACCCUUAUCUCACUCGGACUAUCCUGUGACAUCUCAGAAGUUGGAUACAUUUUCCAAGAAAAGAGAAAAACAUGUAAAAUAUGCGCAGCCCCGUGAAGCAAUUGCAGACGGAAUGCAGGGAGCUGGAUAUUUCAACGUCUGGACAUAAGAACCAGCUAAUCGAGAGAAUUGAAAAUCAUGGAUUAUUAGGAUUCCACAAUGCAGGUGACAUGGUGAAACGAAAACGAGAUUUGGAGGAUCUUAUAACAAGCAUAAGGUACAAAUGGACGACUACAGAUCAGCCGAUUUUGAGUCAUCUUGUGCCUCAUCACCGCAACGACAAUUUGUGUCACCAGAACAACGACCACCAGUAAGUAAUUUGGUCAACGGCAUACGGCCAGCGGCAACGUUAACUUCAUUGGAAAUGUUGUAAUACCAAUGAUAGCUCAAGCGGAGGUGGAACUACCAAAUGUGUAAUACGAUUAUCCAGUUUGUGUUUCAAAUGGAAAUAUUGGGGUAGCAACGACAUCUCAUACGGGGAUGUUACCAUUGACAUCACAUGGAUGCCAACCGUAAUUCCCGACGAUAAACAACGUUACCACGAGUCAUCAAUAUAUGUCAGGUGUACCACGAGCAUAUCACCAAACAGGACAAACGAUUUAUGCAGCACCACGUUACGACAUGCGACAGGCGAAUGAAUAUGGAAAUAUUCCAACAACGAGUGUACCAAACGUUUCUGGAACAAAACCAAUGUCUUAUGUGCCAGAUUGUGUACCACCGACGCAAUGUACGGAACCACCAAUAUUUGCUGCAACGUCAAAUGAAUGUUUUUGUGUCAAACAAUCCAUAUGGACACGUCAAGUAUAUUAUAUCUCUGCUACCAGAUUCUUUCCAAUUUGUGAAAAUAAUCGAAUUUUUGAGAGCAGCAUACGGUUGGAGUGACUAAUAUUUGCCCUUCAACUGCUGCGUUAAUAUUUGCCCUUCAACUGCAAAUGCAGGGACCUGCGAAAUAUUGAUUUUGCUCAUGUCGAAAACGCAGCAGACAUUUACAUUAAGAUGUCUCAAACGACACGCCGUCCUAACGAAACUCCUCAGAAGUACUAUUUCAGAAUGUACACAAUGGGAAAAAAAUGCAAUUUUUCAGAUCCUGCUAUUGCAUGACACUUUGGAAUGGUAUAGACGACUCGGACUUGAAGAGGAAGAUAUCCAACGAUUAUUUAACGUGCAACCAGCUUUUGAGAGAUAUAAACGUUUCCUGCAAUUACAACGAUUCGAGAACAGCUAAAGGCAGUGCAAAUAAACAUAAAAAGGAAUUACCGCGAGAGCACAACUUCCAACGACAUCUCCAAGAAAAACGGUGAACAAUCGGUAAGCAAGGUGAAGUGCUUUAAUUGUUCCAAAUACGCACACUAUUGCAACAAGUGUCCAGAGCCUCAAAGGAGAGAAAGAUGUGCAAAGUGUAAUCGAGUCAUCAAAGUAUAAGUAUAUCCUUAUUGAGACUUCUUCUUUAGACCAAAAAAAAAACUUCUUUUCCUAUAA